rnacentral:lncRNA from 1 species
UUCACUCUGCAUAAUAGGCUCCAGUUUCAUCCACCUCAUUAGAACUGAUUAAAGAUUUCUUAAAGUCAUAUUCUUCAAGAAUAAACAGAUUCAUGAGGAAAGUGGUAAAUAUUGGUUCAUUUGUAUAUUCACAGUGCCUGACACAUAGAAAAGUCAUUUUUAAGUGAUGUAUAUAUAAAAUCCUCCAAUAAAAUUGCCACUUUUUAUUUUAGUUUCUAAAAUAGCAAAGUUGACUCUACUAUUUCUCCUUUGGGGGAUUAAGAAGAGAUGAAUGAGAGAAUUAGAUCUGCUAUUUGUAAACUUGUUUUUAAACAUUUUUAAUUGAACUAUUGGUAUUACUUGUAUCCACCUAGCUAAACUCUAUACCAGUUCUUGUACACAUUUGCAAUAAAAUUAUCUUUACCUGGAACAAAAUGCUUGUUGUAUGCACAGAGAAAAAAGAGGACAGAACUGGGUUCUGGAAGUUGGACCAAAUCACAGGGAGGUAUUUGCUGUUUUCUGUUUCCAUGCUUGGAGAGAAUGGGAGGCAGUAGCACUAAUAGUAACUACAAGUCUGAGAACCUGCCAGGGAGAAAUGACUUGAUUGUCUAUUCAGUUUAAUAUCACUACAAACAUUUCAUAGUGAACACCAUUACAUCCCUUUCGCAGGCCACGAAACUAGCGCUUAGAUUGCUGAAGUCCCUUGCUCUUAUUCCCCAGUUUUCUUCUCCAUGCCCCCCCCCCCCAAGGAGACUGUUUGCUGGAGCAGCUGAGAACAGAGAACUUUGCAAAGAGGUUUCCUUCCCUUGGAGUUUAAUUUGCAGACUGGAGACAAAGAUAUGGCACAAGAGAGGUCUCCAGGGAUUUGUGAAAACAGAAGCAACUUUCCUUAGUCACACCAAAGAGAAGAGCAAUGAGUGGCAGCAAGGAGUGGCAGAGAAUAAAAUUUCUCAGCCAAAAGCUAGACCUGACCCAACCUUUGGUCUCCUUCUCAGACUGCCCCACCAGCGGGAUUUCUUCUCCAAGCCCAGAAAACAAAAGAAGGAAAAGAGAUCCAUAACUCUCAGAAUGAAAAGGGUAGGAGAAUGAGUGAAGUGUCAUUCCUUUCCUCUUUUCUAUGGUGGAUCCCUAAGCUCCCAGUCAGGCCUGAGCUAGGCAGGGGCCAUGUGAAAAUUUUGGAUUGGCUGGGAGAUCUAAGCUGUGACCUGUGUCAGGCUGAAUCAUAGCUUACCUGAAAGCUAGUCUUUAUUAACUAAAUGGGAUGAGACUUAAUCUAAAGCUGCCCGACAGCUCUGGUAUGUCUUAUCUCCAUAAAACAUAGAGAAAGAUUUUCUAGGAGUGAAUGUAGUCCCAGCUAAACAUAAAGCUGUUUCUUGGCUAUAGGCAACCAAGUUUCACCUGAUCACUCUGUAGGUAAAAUAAAUAGUAACCUAACAGAGUUUCCUGGAGAAGGCAAUGGCACCCCACUCCAGUACUCUUGCCUGG